AUUGAACGCUGGCGGCAGGCCUAACACAUGCAAGUCGAACGGUAACAGGAAGAAGCUUGCUUCUUUGCUGACGAGUGGCGGACGGGUGAGUAAUGUCUGGGAAACUGCCUGAUGGAGGGGGAUAACUACUGGAAACGGUAGCUAAUACCGCAUAACGUCGCAAGACCAAAGAGGGGGACCUUCGGGCCUCUUGCCAUCGGAUGUGCCCAGAUGGGAUUAGCUAGUAGGUGGGGUAACGGCUCACCUAGGCGACGAUCCCUAGCUGGUCUGAGAGGAUGACCAGCCACACGGGAACUGAGACACGGUCCAGACUCCUACGGGAGGCAGCAGUGGGGAAUAUUGCACAAUGGGCGCAAGCCUGAUGCAGCCAUGCCGCGUGUAUGAAGAAGGCCUUCGGGUUGUAAAGUACUUUCAGCGGGGAGGAAGGGAGUAAAGUUAAUACCUAUGCUCAUUGACGUUACCCGCAGAAGAAGCACCGGCUAACUCCGUG
rnacentral:rRNA from 1 species